rnacentral:sRNA from 1 species
UAUUUAAUUUACUCUAUUUUUUAAUAAUUUUAUGUUUUUUGUUUAUUUUAUGUGACAUUCGAUCUACGUCCGUAAUCAGAUUGAGAAUACAAGAACGUCUCAUACCUCAGAAAAAAUUUAUAGUUCUGCAUUUUGCUUUUUUUUUGCGAGAGUCGGCGGCAUCUCUGUCACACUGAACAGUAAAGAGAAAAAUAUAUUUAGGAUUUAUUUUAAUCGUGUAUUUAUACUGUGUUUUUUGGGCUGGGUCUUAAACAAAUCUGCCCAAAAAAUAUAUAUAUAUAUAUAUUUUAUUUUAUCUCUUGUGAAAAUAUGUAAACAAUUUAUUCUUUUUGUGCUGAAUGAUUAAUAAGUGAAUGCAAGGUUCCAAGUUUAAGAAAAUAUAUACUCGAUUUGAUCCGACGAAAUCAUAUGGAAUUGCGAGCAAUACAUUUAUCAAGGUUUUAAAAAUUGAGAUUUCAAAAUAACGCUUUUGUUAUUAUAACGACAAACAAAAU